rnacentral:rRNA from 1 species
UUAAGCGACUAAGCGUACACGGUGGAUGCCCUGGCAGUCAGAGGCGAUGAAGGACGUGCUAAUCUGCGAAAAGCGUCGGUAAGGUGAUAUGAACCGUUAUAACCGGCGAUGUCCGAAUGGGGAAACCCAGUGCAAUUCGUUGCACUAUCGUUAACUGAAUACAUAGGUUAACGAGGCGAACCGGGGGAACUGAAACAUCUAAGUACCCCGAGGAAAAGAAAUCAACCGAGAUUCCCCCAGUAGCGGCGAGCGAACGGGGAGCAGCCCAGAGUCUGAAUCAGCUUGUGUGUUAGUGGAACGGUCUGGAAAGUCCGACGGUACAGGGUGAUAGUCCCGUACACCAAAAUGCACAGGCUGUGAACUCGAAGAGUAGGGCGGGACACGUGGUAUCCUGUCUGAAUAUGGGGGGACCAUCCUCCAAGGCUAAAUACUCCUGACUGACCGAUAGUGAACCAGUACCGUGAGGGAAAGGCGAAAAGAACCCCGGCGAGGGGAGUGAAAAAGAACCUGAAACCGUGUACGUACAAGCAGUGGGAGCACCUUCGGGUGUGACUGCGUACCUUUUGUAUAAUGGGUCAGCGACUUAUAUUCUGUAGCAAGGUUAACCGUAUAGGGGAGCCGCAGGGAAACCGAGUCUUAACUGGGCGUUAAGUUGCAGGGUAUAGACCCGAAACCCGGUGAUCUAGCCAUGGGCAGGUUGAAGGUUGGGUAACACUAACUGGAGGACCGAACCGACUAAUGUUGAAAAAUUAGCGGAUGACUUGUGGCUGGGGGUGAAAGGCCAAUCAAACCGGGAGAUAGCUGGUUCUCCCCGAAAGCUAUUUAGGUAGCGCCUCGUGAAUUCAUCUUCGGGGGUAGAGCACUGUUUCGGCUAGGGGGUCAUCCCGACUUACCAACCCGAUGCAAACUACGAAUACCGAAGAAUGUUAUCACGGGAGACACACGGCGGGUGCUAACGUCCGUCGUGAAGAGGGAAACAACCCAGACCGCCAGCUAAGGUCCCAAAGUCAUGGUUAAGUGGGAAACGAUGUGGGAAGGCACAGACAGCCAGGAUGUUGGCUUAGAAGCAGCCAUCAUUUAAAGAAAGCGUAAUAGCUCACUGGUCGAGUCGGCCUGCGCGGAAGAUGUAACGGGGCUAAACCAUGCACCGAAGCUGCGGCAGCGACACUAUGUGUUGUUGGGUAGGGGAGCGUUCUGUAAGCCUGCGAAGGUGACCUGUGAGGGUUGCUGGAGGUAUCAGAAGUGCGAAUGCUGACAUAAGUAACGAUAAAGCGGGUGAAAAGCCCGCUCGCCGGAAGACCAAGGGUUCCUGUCCAACGUUAAUCGGGGCAGGGUGAGUCGACCCCUAAGGCGAGGCCGAAAGGCGUAGUCGAUGGGAAACAGGUUAAUAUUCCUGUACUUGGUGUUACUGCGAAGGGGGGACGGAGAAGGCUAUGUUAGCCGGGCGACGGUUGUCCCGGUUUAAGCAUGUAGGCUGGUUGUCCAGGCAAAUCCGGAUAAUCAAGGCUGAGGUGUGAUGACGAGGCACUACGGUGCUGAAGUAACAAAUGCCCUGCUUCCAGGAAAAGCCUCUAAGCAUCAGGUAACAUUAAAUCGUACCCCAAACCGACACAGGUGGUCAGGUAGAGAAUACCAAGGCGCUUGAGAGAACUCGGGUGAAGGAACUAGGCAAAAUGGUGCCGUAACUUCGGGAGAAGGCACGCUGGUGUGUAGGUGAAGCCCCUGCGGGUGGAGCUGAGACCAGUCGAAGAUACCAGCUGGCUGCAACUGUUUAUUAAAAACACAGCACUGUGCAAACACGAAAGUGGACGUAUACGGUGUGACGCCUGCCCGGUGCCGGAAGGUUAAUUGAUGGGGUUAUCCGUAAGGAGAAGCUCUUGAUCGAAGCCCCGGUAAACGGCGGCCGUAACUAUAACGGUCCUAAGGUAGCGAAAUUCCUUGUCGGGUAAGUUCCGACCUGCACGAAUGGCGUAAUGAUGGCCAGGCUGUCUCCACCCGAGACUCAGUGAAAUUGAACUCGCUGUGAAGAUGCAGUGUACCCGCGGCAAGACGGAAAGACCCCGUGAACCUUUACUAUAGCUUGACACUGAACAUUGAGCCUUGAUGUGUAGGAUAGGUGGGAGGCUUUGAAGCGUGGACGCCAGUCUGCGUGGAGCCAACCUUGAAAUACCACCCUUUAAUGUUUGAUGUUCUAACGUUGGCCCCUGACCGGGGUUGCGGACAGUGUCUGGUGGGUAGUUUGACUGGGGCGGUCUCCUCCCAAAGCGUAACGGAGGAGCACGAAGGUUAGCUAAUCCUGGUCGGACAUCAGGAGGUUAGUGCAAUGGCAUAAGCUAGCUUGACUGCGAGCGUGACGGCGCGAGCAGGUGCGAAAGCAGGUCAUAGUGAUCCGGUGGUUCUGAAUGGAAGGGCCAUCGCUCAACGGAUAAAAGGUACUCCGGGGAUAACAGGCUGAUACCGCCCAAGAGUUCAUAUCGACGGCGGUGUUUGGCACCUCGAUGUCGGCUCAUCACAUCCUGGGGCUGAAGUAGGUCCCAAGGGUAUGGCUGUUCGCCAUUUAAAGUGGUACGCGAGCUGGGUUUAGAACGUCGUGAGACAGUUCGGUCCCUAUCUGCCGUGGGCGCUGGAGAAUUGAGGGGGGCUGCUCCUAGUACGAGAGGACCGGAGUGGACGCAUCACUGGUGUUCGGGUUGUCAUGCCAAUGGCACUGCCCGGUAGCUAAAUGCGGAAGAGAUAAGUGCUGAAAGCAUCUAAGCACGAAACUUGCCCCGAGAUGAGUUCUCCCUGAGACUUUAAGUCUCCUGAAGGAACGUUAAAGACGAUGACGUUGAUAGGCCGGGUGUGUAAGCGCAGCGAUGCGUUGAGCUAACCGGUACUAAUGAACCGUGAGGCUUAACCU